AAGUCGUAACAAGGUCUCCGUAGGUGAACCUGCGGAGGGAUCAUUACACAACAAAAUAUGAAGGCCUGGCUUCGCGGCCGGCUGAAAUAUUUUUUCACCCAUGUCUUUUGCGCACUUGUUGUUUCCUGGGCGGGUUCGCCCGCCACCAGGACCAAACCAUAAACCUUUUUUUUAUGCAGUUACCAUCAGCGUCAGUAAAAACAAUGUAAUUAAUUACAACUUUCAACAACGGAUCUCUUGGUUCUG
rnacentral:misc_RNA from 1 species